rnacentral:misc_RNA from 1 species
GAUGAAGAACGUAGCGAAAUGCGAUAAGUAAUGUGAAUUGUAGAAUUCAGUGAAUCAUCGAAUCUUUGAACGCACCUUGCGCCCUUUGGCUAUUCCGAAGGGCAUGCCUGUUUGAGUAUCAUGAACACCUCAACUCUCAUGGUUUGCCAUGAUGAGCUUGGACUUUGGGGGUCUUGCCGGCCUAUGGGUCGGCUCCUCUCAAAUUAAUCAGCUUGCCAGUGUUUGGUGGCAUCACAGGUGUGAUAACUAUCUACGCUUGUGGUUUUCCAUCAGGUAACCUUCAGUGAUGGAGGUUCGCUGGGGCUCAUAAAUGUCUCUCCUCAGUGAGGACAGCUUUUUUGAACGUUUGAUCUCAAAUCAGGUAGGACUACCCGCUGAACUUAAGCAUAUCAAUAAGCGGAGGA